GAUGAACGCUGGCGGCGUGCCUAAUACAUGCAAGUCGAGCGAACAGACGAGGAGCUUGCUCCUCUGACGUUAGCGGCGGACGGGUGAGUAACACGUGGAUAACCUACCUAUAAGACUGGGAUAACUUCGGGAAACCGGAGCUAACACCGGAUAAUCUAUUGAACCGCAUGGUUGAAUAGUGAAAGACGGCGUUGCUGGCACUAAUAGAUGGAUCCGCGCCGCAUUAGCGAGUUGGUAAGGUAACGGCUUACCAAGGCAACGAUGCGUAGCCGACGUCAGAGGGUGGUCGCCCACAUGGGAACUGAGCCAGCGUCCUGACUCCUACGGGACGCCGCAGUAGGGUAUGUUCCGCAAUGGGCGGAAGCCUUACGGAGCAGCGCCGCGUGAGUGAUGAAGGUCUUCGGUUCGUAAAGCUCUGUUAUUGGUGAAGAACAAAAUUGUAAGUAGCUGUGCCCUUCUUGACGGUAACUAGUCAGAAAGCCCCGGCUAACUACGUG
rnacentral:rRNA from 1 species